rnacentral:misc_RNA from 1 species
UGGUUCUGGCAUCGAUGAAGAACGCAGCGAAAUGCGAUAAGUAAUGUGAAUUGCAGAAUUCAGUGAAUCAUCGAAUCUUUGAACGCACAUUGCGCCCUUUGGUAUUCCGAAGGGCAUGCCUGUCCGAGCGUCAUUAAAAUCUCAAGGAAACUUGGUUUUGGGAAUUAUCUGCAAGAUAUGCCCGAAAAUGAUCUCUGGAUUGAUAGUGUCCGGUUCCUGUGAAAUUUGAACCGUCCGCUCUCAACUUCAGAACCAUCAUACCAUGAAUUAACCUCGGAUCAGGUAGGGAUACCCGCUGA